rnacentral:rRNA from 1 species
UACGGAGGGUGCAAGCGUUAUCCGGAUUACUGGGUUUAAAGGGUGCGUAGGUGGGUUGGUAAGUCAGUGGUGAAAUCUCCGAGCUUAACUUGGAAACUGCCAUUGAUACUAUCAGUCUUGAAUACCGUGGAGGUCAGCGGAAUAUGUCAUGUAGCGGUGAAAUGCUUAGAUAUGACAUAGAACACCAAUUGCGAAGGCAGCUGACUACGCGAAUAUUGACACUGAUGCACGAAAGCGUGGGGAUC